CCUUCCCCUUCACUUCCGCCCUUGUGACCCUCUCCCAACCCCACAGGUUGUGUCACAUGGAUGCAUGGAGCCCCAGAAACUGCUGUGUCUGGCCCCUACCACUCUAUUCAGAGAAAUGUCAAUCACAAAAUAAUUCUGAUUGGAGUGUACACUUUGUUAUCCACAAUAUUUGCAAUGUAACUAACUUCAUCAAUAGCUUCCUGUUAUAAAACCCCAACGACCCUCUUAAAGUCAAUUAAGACAGAAUAUCAUAAUAUGAAGUAGGGAAGAGUUAUCUUGGCAAAUACAAUAUCUUUGCUGAUAAGCUAACUCCAAGAAGUGUUGAUAACAACAACAUUAUACAUCACUGAGAGUUUUUGUUAUGAAAAGAGGAGGAAGAAACCUCAGAUUUAAUUAAUGGACAAAUAUCCAACGGGGACCUGCGUCACCGUGCAUCCUGUCUCAAGUCCACUGCGAGAGCUGAGGCAGUAACAGCUCUACGGCGUCGACAAUAUCCGCACACGGUUGGAGUGCGGGGAUGCUACACACCAUUUUGGUGCCUGCAAUGUGGGGCUCGACAACGCCAGCUGCCGCCUCAUCUGGGAGACAACACAGCACCUAAGAUGCCACUCGACGCCUCAUCAAGAAGACGACGCUAGUCGGAUCAUUGAAAAGACGACGUGGUAUUUGUGGGCAACAGCUACACAUUGUUUGUUCACAGAACUGAAGUCAACAACGCCAGACGUCACACCUUCCAACGUUUCUUCUCAACGACGAAUGCAGAGACGACAUGGGGGGCUGACUCCUCCACUAUGCAGCCAACGCUCCACGACUUGGAGUGAGCUAAAUGCAGAACGACGCAGCGCAUUGGAGAAUGUGACAGUGAUCACAUCCAUGCCACGACAAUUUAUAACUACAGAGAAAAACAUCCAAGCUGCAGGCUGCGCUAAGCUGUGGUGCAGUCUAUUGCUGACAUCACCACAGGACAACGAGAUCAACCCUUGACCGGUGACAAUCGGAUCGUAAUCGCUGCAUUGUACGAUCUGAUGCAGUAGCUGCAUCGCCAGCGGUUUGGAGUGGAAGAACAGGCUUUGAACUCGGCCAUGUCUCGCAGCCCACAUGGUCCAGUGCUGUCGCAGUGUCAGUGCGAUGAUGCGACGACAACAAUGCAAUAAAAUGAAUUAUUUAAGUUAUUAA